AUACUUUUCCAUGCAAGGCUAAUAGAUUAAAUGGAUUUCUGGAGCAUAGUGAUGCAAUAGGAGCUUGCUCCAUUCACUCUAUGCAUCAACCUGGUAUUUUAGUACCUCCAAGAAUGGUGUGCCCUCU
ensembl:snRNA U2 U2 spliceosomal RNA